rnacentral:lncRNA from 1 species
AUCUCCUCUUGGGUGAGCAACCUAGAACUAUUCUAGGAUUUUGGGUAAGAGAAAAACCAAAGAGAAGAGAGUCUUUAUCAAAUUUUUCUCUACCAUCCAGCAUCCCCUCUGAUCCAUAUUCAAUAUCAAAAAGAUUUGAGACAAUCGAAAGAAGAAAUCAAAUCAGAUCUGCCAUCAUAAGCUAACUGCACAAGCUAGCACUCCCAC